AGUUCAGUUUCUAUCCAACGUUUCCUGACAGCGGUCGGUUGCCAAUAACGCAAAUUUCAAAGACAUUUUUGAUAUUUCGGCAAUUCGUGCAGGGAAACGUUGAACGGGAAAUUCUACUCAAUUGCGAUAAAUAAUAUUAAACAUUUCAGUGACGCGUAACAUUUAGACGAGUGAAACCGCGGUUCCAGAAUUAAAUCGUUGUUGCGAUAAGUUCUGAACGUAACGCUUGAACGAUUUCGGUUGAAUUGAAACGUGUCCAUAGAACCGAGGACACAUCAACCCUUAGCCACCAAAUCCGGCAACUACAACAACCUGACAAACCAUUUCUCUGACAAACAGCUCGCUCGUAAACAGUUGUUUGCCAGAGUUUGCAAUUCCAAGGCAAAAGGAAAAAACGCGAAAACCGGCAAAUUUUCGUGUUCACAACUUUUGCAUUCAAGGCUGCUGAAGUGACGGGACCCCGACCUACGAAGUUUUUUUUUUCGAACGUGUAACACAUAACGUUAACGGCAAAUAACGUUAUUGUGUUCUGGAAUAUUACAAACAGAAUUAGCACUGUUUUGUAAUUAUAAAAAGAAGGAGAGAGAAGGAACGAGAGAGAGAGAGAGAGCACGCGGGAGAGCAGCAGCCUGUUAUUCCACAACCAUAACACAUUGAGUACAACAUUUGGAAUACUCUUUUACCAAACUUCAGCAACUACCCGGCAAACAAGUAGUAGCAUAGACACUUGUUACCAUCGUUUUGUAUAUAUAGCUUGGCGGUAUAUAUAUACAUACGUAUAAACGUAAAUAAAAAACAAACAAAAAAAAAAAACGCGAAUUUAACCAGUUUUUUGACAUUUGCAUUCGUUACGUUUUCAAGUAAUUAUAACGUAAACGUAAGACAUUUACCAGAUUUUUAAAAUUCCGACAUUGGUAUAUAUAACUUGGCGGAUUAUAUAUACUAAAAAAAAGAAAUAAAUAAAUAAAAUACUAAUUUUUUGGACACUUACGUUCAGAACGUUUUAAUAAAAUCGUAACGUUGACGUAAACCAAUCAACCGUUAUCGGCUUAAUAAACGAUUGUAUAUAUUUCUUGGCGGUUUAUAUAUACAAAUCAAAUAAAUUCAACUAAUUUUGGACACUUACGUUCUAUACGUAACGUAAACGUAAGAUAAAUACCCGAUUUUUACAAUUAAAAAAAAAAACCUAAAAGAGCGUAUAUAACUUGGCGGUUUAUAUACAACUUAAGAAAAAAAUAAAAAAAAAUUGGCAAAAUUUACCUUCGAUAUCUUCCAACAAAAUCGUAACGUAAACGUAACAGUAAUUACCGGAAUUGACAUUUUAAGAUUAAUACCAGAUUUUGACAAGUGAAACAUCAGUUUAUAUAACUUGGCGGUUUAUAUAAACACACUUAAAAAUAAAAAAUACCCGAUUUUGGACCCUCACGUUCAAUACGUUUUCAUUUGAACGUAACGUAAACGUAAGCCAAUCAACCGAUAUUGACACAAUUAACGAUUGUAUAUAUUUCUUGGCGGUUUAUAUAUACAAAUCAAGCAAAUUCAACUAAUUUUGGACACUUACGCUCCAUACGUAACUGUAACGUAAACGUAAGAUAAUUACCUGAUAUUUACAAUAUAAAAAAAAACACAAAACAGUGUAUUAUAUAACUUGGCGGUUUAUAUACAACUAAAGAAAAAUAAAUAAAUUUGACAAAAAUUUACGUUCGAUAUCUUUCAAAAAAAAAAAAAAAUCGUAACGUAAACGUAACAGUAAUUACCGGAAUUGACAUUUUAAGAUUAAUACCAGAUUUUGACAAGUGAAACAUUAGUUUAUAUAACUUGGCGGUUUAUAUACAACUAAAGAAAAAUAAAAAAAAAAUCGACAAAAUUUACGUUCGAUACCUUUCAACAAAAUCGUAACGUAAACGUAAGAGUAAUUAUCGGAAUUGACACCUUAAGAUUAACUUGGCUAUUAAAAUAACAACUAUAACGGAAAUUAAUUCAAAAUUGGAUAUUUGCCUACAAUACGUUUUUUAAGAGACGUAAGCCUAGAAUUAAUACCAGAUUUUGAAAUAAACACAACUGGGUGUAUAUAACUUGGCGGUUUAUAUAUACAUCAAAAGUAAAAAAAAAAACCUAAUUUGAAAAAUCUACGAUUCUUAAAUCGUAAUCGUAAUUCUGCAGUAGAAGUGAAAUUAAUACCGGAAUUGACAUCGAAACCCACCAACAUACAAAGUGGCGAUUCAUACGUAUCGGAUAUAAAGUGACCCUUGUUCCGUAACUGUAACGUUAACGUGAUACAAUCAACCGAUUUCGACCGAAACCCACAUCAGUGUAGAUAACUUGGCGGUUUAUAUACAUCUAAGGUGAAUUUACCCAAUUUUGGAUAUUUUAUGUUUAAUGCAUAAUAACAUAACUGCAACGUAAACAUAACGUAAAUACCGGAUUUUUAAUUUAAACAUAAUAACAGUGAUUUAUAAUUGUGUGUGUGUAAACACCAAUAUACACAACAAAUAACAUAAAUCAAACACAAUUUUGUCCACUUGUGUAAAAUUGCAGUUAUUUAACGUAACAUAACUGCAACGCAAACGCAAGACAAUUACUGGAUUUUGACGAAACGUGGAUCAAUAUCAAAUUUAAAGUCCUUCGAAAAGUGUUAACAGCCAACCAGCCAUUGGAAAUUGGAAAAAAAUACCACGUAACUGGAAAUCAAAACCUACGUAACUGGAAAGUAAACGGAGCCCAAAUAAUCAACUAAAAUACGCAAAACUCGAUCAGUGUUUAAAAAAUAUAUAUUAAAUAAAUUAAAUAUAUAUUAAAACACAUUUCUUGUAACAGCAUAAAUUUUUGAUAUAUAUGUUACGUUUCCGUAAAGUACACGGUGAACCAGUGUUUUGACUCUAAACGAGACUCUUAAAUUUGAAAUAAAACUCUAGUGUUAAAAUCUGAAAAAAUUGGACCAAUGAACUACAGUGUAAAAGUGAAAAACAGAUUUUAACAACAAAUAAAGAAAAGAUCCCAAAAACAACGAAAAAAAAGCUACCAGUCUCAUUGAAAGUCCUUCGAAAAGUGUUAAAAUCCACACCAAAUGCAGACUGGCCAAGUGCAGCAGUAGAAACAACACGGGAUAGAUCCAUUUGUAACGUGAACGUAACAUAAAAAUUCUAUUGUUUCAAACAACAACAAAAAAAAAGUCCAUCAGUCUCAUUAAAAGUCCUUCGAAAAGUGUUAAAAUUCACACCAAAUGCAGGCUGGUCGAGGGCAACAAUAGAAACAUCACCGGAUAGAUCUAUUUGCAUCUAAACGUAACGUAAACGUAAAAUAUUAAACCAAUUGUGACCACUCAAAGUAUCGAAAAAUACUUGAGAAAAAAAGUCCUUUUAAACGAUUUAAAAGGCUAAACGAAUUCUGACGUAUCAAUAAGAACAGCAGAAAAUCCUUCAAAAAAGUGAUAUAAAAAUCCGGACUCUGCCUGAUCUUUUUCAUCAACACCAACAACACUCAUCAUUAAGUCCUUCGUGAUAGUGUUGUAGAGGAGAUCACUCACCGUGUUUUUAAGAAAAAGUCCUUCAAAACCAAAUUUAAAACAAAAGUAAAUCUAAACUCUGCCUAGACCCAUCACUUCAAAGUCCUUCAAGUUAAAGUGAUAACAAGAAAAUUGCUCUCUCACAUCUAUUCGAAUUGUUAAGUCGAAUAAUAAAACAAAUACAAAAUUGUCAAGUCCUUCUCAAAGUGCUAAAAUAAACAAGAUCUACUCAAUCAAAACUUAAAUUAGCCAAUACCACGACACAGCUAAUUAACUCUGCCUUUUGAAAAUCAAACUUGUUUUUCAAAGAAUAUCAAAAAUCAAACAAAUAAAGCCAAACAAAGCCCAUUUUAUACCAUUGGAAGUAUUAUACACAAGAUUAAUACUUCUAAAAGAUAAAUACAAUCUUCGAAAAGCCCAAAAGUAUCCGAGUUGGAAAAAAAAUCGAUUGCCUUCGAUUACGAUCCAAACAACCUCUUAAGCUGAAAAGUGGUCACAUCGCCUAUAAGCCGAGGAUAUCCAACCAAAAUUCAUGAAAGUUUGAGGAUUGUUGGAAAACAAAACAAUCUGAAGUCAACUUGAAGCCAUUGAUAAACGGACUCAACCCAGAACCCAUAACCGUGUUCUGUCGAAUAAUCGGACAAAUCAGUUUUUUGCAAUAUUUCGGAAUAUUUGCUAAGACUUUAAAAUGUCGUUUUUAAAUGUGUUAAAUCCGAACGAUGGCAUUGCUACAUCAUCAUUAGCGUAAGCUAAACCAAAAAAAAAAAAAAAGUUUUAAUUUUCAGCCAAAUCCACAUAUUUUAUCAAAUACCUUGUUGUGAUAUCCUUCGGAAAUGGAGUACAAUCCAAAUUAUAUGCUUACUCCUACACAGGAGCAGGCGAGGGCAAUGACGGAAUAUAAUUCCCUCUAUGGAUGGCAUCCGAAAUGUAAGCUAACCGUUUUCCCAAUUCUUAAAAAGGACAGAUACGACUCAAAAAAAAAAUAAUAAUAAAUAA